AUUGAACGCUGGCGGCAGGCCUAACACAUGCAAGUCGAACGAGUGGCGGACGGGUGAGUAAUGUCUGGGAAACUGCCUGAUGGAGGGGGAUACCUACUGGAAACGGUAGCUAAUACCGCAUACCAUCAGAUGUGCCCAGAUGGGAUUAGCUAUUUGGUGGGGUAACGGCUCACCAGGGCGACGAUCCCUACCUGGUCUGAGAGGGUGACCAGCCACACUGGAACUGAGACACGGUCCAGACUCCUACGGGAGGCAGCAGUGGGGAAUAUUGCACAAUGGGCGCAAGCCGGAUGAAGCAAUGCCGCGUGUAUGAAGAAGGCCUUCGGGUUGUAAAGUACUUUCAGCGGGGAGGCGUUACCCGCAGAAGAAGCACCGGCUAACUCCGUGCCAGCAGCCGCGGUAAUAC
rnacentral:rRNA from 1 species